rnacentral:rRNA from 1 species
AGCGGCGCACGGGUGCGUAACACGUGUGCAACCUACCUUUAUCUGGGGGAUAGCCUUUCGAAAGGAAGAUUAAUACCCCAUAAUAUAUUGAAUGGCAUCAUUUAAUAUUGAAAACUCCGGUGGAUAAAGAUGGGCACGCGCAAGAUUAGAUAGUUGGUGAGGUAACGGCUCACCAAGUCAAUGAUCUUUAGGGGUCCUGAGAGGGAGAUCCCCCACACUGGUACUGAGACACGGACCAGACUCCUACGGGAGGCAGCAGUGAGGAAUAUUGGACAAUGGGUGAAAGCCUGAUCCAGCCAUCCCGCGUGAAGGAUGACGGUCCUAUGGAUUGUAAACUUCUUUUGUAUAGGAAUAAACCUUUCUACGUGUAGAAAGCUGAAGGUACUAUACGAAUAAGCACCGGCUAA